UCGAGGAUCAUUCGCAAUGGGCGAAAGCCUGACGAUGCGACGCCGUGUGAGCGAUGAAGGCCUUCGGGUUGUAAAGCUCUUUCGCCUGGGAACAAGAGAGAGCGGUGAAUAGCCGUUUGAUUUGAGGGUACCAGGUAAAGAAGCACCGGCUAACUCCGUGCCAGCAGCUGCGGUAAUACGGAGGGUGCAAGCAUUAAUCGGAUUUAUUGGGCGUAAAGGGCGCGUAGGCGGGCAUGUAAGUCGAGUGUGAAAUUCCAAAGCUCAACUUUGGGACUGCAUUUGAAACUACAAGUCUAAGAGGAUUGGCGGAGAAAAUGGAAUUCCACGUGUAGCGGUGAAAUGCGUAGAUAUGUGGAAGAACACCUGUGGCGAAAGCGGUUUUCUAGCUUAUACCUGACGCUGAGGCGCGAGAGCAAGGGGAGCAAACA
rnacentral:rRNA from 1 species